GGAGUAAAAGUCCCUCAGAAUUUCCAACUGUUGGAAGAACUGGAACAAGGUUAGAAAGGAGUAGGUGAUGGCACAGGUGGCUGGGGUGUAGAAGACGAUGAAGACAUGAUACUUACAAGAUGGACAGAGAUGGUAACUGGGCCUCCAAGAACAACUGAUGAAAACCGAAUAUACAGCCUUAAAAUAAAAUGUGGACCUAAAUACCCAGAAGGACCCCACUUUGUAAGAUUUUUCACAAAAAUUAAUAUGAAUGGAGUUAAGAGUUCUAAUGGAGUGGUAGACCAAGAGCCAUAUCAGUGCUAGCAAAAUGGCAGAAUUCAUAGAGCAUCAAAGUGGUUCUGCAAGAGCUUUAGCACCUAAUGAUGUCUAAAGAAAAUAUGAAACUCCCUCAGCCACCUGAAGGACACUGUUACAGCAGUUAA
rnacentral:lncRNA from 1 species